CGCGUAGGCGGCUUGGUCAGUCGGAUGUGAAAGCCCCGGGCUUAACCUGGGAAUUGCAUUCGAUACUGCCAGGCUGGAGUGUAUAGAGGGAAGCGGAAUUCCGGGUGUAGCGGUGAAAUGCGUAGAGAUCCGGAGGAACAUCAGUGGCGAAGGCGGCUUCCUGGACUAACACUGACGCUGAGGUGCGAAAGCGUGGGGAGCAAACA
rnacentral:rRNA from 1 species